UAACAAAAUGACGGUGACAGUGACAGACGUCUGCUUUAGCUUGUAUUCUUUAUUUUUAUUCUUUUCAUUAAUUUAAAUUGUAAUCAAGCAUAAAAGAAAUUUUCUUAGUUCAUCAGGGAGUUUGAACCAACAUAUUAAAUUAAUUAUUGUCGCUGUACCCCUUAUUUUUUAAUUACACAAUUCUGGGUGAUAUGGCAUCAUCAUAUCAUCUCGUCCAUAAACAAGCAGCAGAAUUAUGUCAUUUACGUGUGAGGAAAAUAUCACGAGCCCAAAUUUCCUACACUUUUCAAAGGGAAGGGCUGUCCAAAAAACUUUUAACAAUUUGCAUGUUUUUAUUUGUUGCGGUGACUUUGAUGCUUAUCAAAGUAAAAGAAGAAAUGAAGUCACAUGAAAUUCCAAUAAAUCACAAACCUUUUGCUGCACCCCUUUUUUAAUUAAACGUAAAUUCUGAGUGAUAUGGCAAAAUCAUAUCCUAUCUUCCACAAACAAUCAGCAGAUUUUAUUCAUUGACGUGUACGGAAAACAUCACAAGCACAAAUUAUUACCUACAUUGUCCUAAGGCGAGGGCUCUCCAAAAUAUUUUAACAAUUGGCAUGUUUUUUUAUUUGUUGCAGUAAUACUUCGACUACUAUCUAAGUAAAAGCAGAAAAGAAGGCUCAUUUAAUUUGAAAAUUGUCUUAUUAAAGGUGUGGCUUAAUUUGAAUCUUUAAAUAAAUCAAUAUACAAAAUGUGUUAUUUGUGACGAAAGUGGGCCAUUUAAGUUUAAUAAAAAAUAAAAAAUUCUUUGUUAAAGGUAUAAAUGAAGCGAAGUAAUCAAACUAUAAACUGCCUUCAGGAUUAUGGGAUAAUCGAGUUCGAUGGAGAAGAAUAAAAAACAGAGAAAAUGUACAAGCAACUGGUACGGUAGCAACGUCUCAUAGUUUUCGCAGAACUGAACCCUAAUUUUAUGUGAUAGAGUAAGACAACACACAGUAGCAGGUCGGAUACUUUCACUUAUUUUGCUGGACCAUCAUUAUUUGGGCCGUGUCCUCCUUUCUUGAAAAAUUGAAAUCUUUGCUAAUGUUUUUCUUAGUCUCUCCUUCCCACUGCUUUUUCUAGCGUUGCUCAAUAUCUCACUCAUUCUUCGUACGACGUAAUAGUCAUGUCCUUCAUUAAAUAGGAUUUUUUAAAAAUAAUCCACGUCUCAAAAGAGAAGUGAUAUGAACACCGCGAAAUAUUAGCAUUAACUGAAUAAUUGUAAUUGAACGUUCACCAAGUUUCUCUUCUUGCUGAUGG